CUUGCUGUGGACUGAUCCAGUGGAUAUGAGCAUCAAUUCCACCUGCCGUUAGUAGUCGACCCUCCCCGGCGAUAGCCUCAGUGCCCGGUCCCACAAUAAUAUCAAUCUGAGGUUGAAUGUCUGGAUUUCCAGCUUUGCCAAUACCGGCAAUGCGGCCGUCCUUAAUCCCUACGUCAGCUUUGACAAUGCCCCAAUAAUCGAUAAUAAGAGCAUUGGUAAUGACAGUAUCAACGGCGUUAUCUUGUCGACUGAUUUGGGAUUGGCCCAUGCCAUCUCG
rnacentral:sRNA from 1 species